rnacentral:rRNA from 1 species
AGCGAACGCUGGCGGCAGGCCUAACACAUGCAAGUCGAACGAACUCUUCGGAGUUAGUGGCGGACGGGUGAGUAACACGUGGGAACGUGCCUUUAGGUUCGGAAUAACUCAGGGAAACUUGUGCUAAUACCGAAUGUGCCCUUCGGGGGAAAGAUUUAUCGCCUUUAGAGCGGCCCGCGUCUGAUUAGCUAGUUGGUGAGGUAAAGGCUCACCAAGGCGACGAUCAGUAGCUGGUCUGAGAGGAUGACCAGCCACAUUGGGACUGAGACACGGCCCAAACUCCUACGGGAGGAAGCAGUGGGGAAUCUUGCGCAAUGGGCGAAAGCCUGACGCAGCCAUGCCGCGUGAAUGAUGAAGGUCUUAGGAUUGGAAAAUUCUUUCACCGGGGACGAUAAUGACGGUACCCGGAGAAGAAGCCCCGGCUAACUUCGUGCCAGCAGCCGCUGUAACAC